rnacentral:rRNA from 1 species
UACCAGCACCCCGAGUGGUCGGGACGUUUAUUGGGCCUAAAGCAUCCGUAGCCGGUUCUACAAGUCUUCCGUUAAAUCCAACUGCUUAACAGGUGGGCUGCGGAAGAUACUAUAGAGCUAGGAGGCGGGAGAGGCAAGCGGUACUCAAUGGGUAGGGGUAAAAUCCGUUGAUCCAUUGAAGACCACCAGUGGCGAAGGCGGCUUGCCAGAACGCGCUCGACGGUGAGGGAUGAAAGCUGGGGGGAGCAAACCGG